GAUGAAGAACGCAGCGAAAUGCGAUAAGUAAUGUGAAUUGCAGAAUUCAGUGAAUCAUCGAGUCUUUGAACGCACAUUGCGCCCCCUGGUAUUCCGGGGGGCAUGCCUGUCCGAGCGUCAUUGCUGCCCUCAAGCACGGCUUGUGUGUUGGGCCCCGCCCCCCGGCUCCCGGGGGGCGGGCCCGAAAGGCAGCGGCGGCACCGCGUCCGGUCCUCGAGCGUAUGGGGCUUCGUCACCCGCUCCGUAGGCCCGGCCGGCGCCCGCCGGCGACCCCCCUCAAUCUUUUCAGGUUGACCUCGGAUCAGGCAGGGAUACCCGCUGAACUUAAGCAUAUCAAUAAGCGGAGGA
rnacentral:misc_RNA from 1 species